ensembl:misc_RNA Metazoa_SRP Metazoan signal recognition particle RNA
GCUGGGUGUGGUGGCUCACGCCUGUAAUCCCAACACUGGGAGGCCAAGACAGGAGGAUUGCUUGAGCUCAGGAGUUCAAGACUAGCCUGGGCAACAUAGUGAGACCCUGUCUCUA